rnacentral:rRNA from 1 species
GCUUACUGCCAUACCAACCUGGCUAUGCCCGAUCUCGUCUGCUCUCGGAAGCUAAGCAGGUUUGGGCCUGGUUAGUACUUGGAUGGGAGACCGCCUGUGAAUACCAGGUGCUGUAAGCU